UCUUCUUCUUCUUCUUCUUCUUCUUCUUCUUCUUCUUCUCCUCCUCCUCCUCCUUCCUCCUCCUCCUGCUCCUCCUUCUCCUCCUCCUCCUCCUCCUCCUCCUCCUCCUCCUCCUCCUUCUACAGAUCGAAAGGAAUAUUUAAUACUCCACUUCAUCUAGUCAUGAUCUUUUUAAACAUUAGACGCCAUCCGCUUCUCUCUCUCUCUCUCUCUCUCUCUCUCUAGCCCUCCCCCCAAUAACUUAUCUAUUUUUAUAUAUAACCGCGUUGGUAUAGCUUCUCCAAACCUCCCACAAACCCCUCCCCCCCUCAUUCCCUUACCUUUCAUGGUGACGCGGACACACACACACACACACACACACACACACACACACACACACACACACACACACACACACACACACACACACACACACACACACACACACACACACACACACACACACACACACACACACACACACACACCUCACCUGGUCUCGGGGCGUCUUUCUGGUCAGGUAAUAAUUAAAAAACUCCCCUGCCCAGGUAAGCACGGCCCGCCAGGUGAAGGUGUGCACGGCCAGGUGAUCCAGGUGUGAAUUGCCAACAAAGGAAUGACGAUAAUCUUUACGUGUACAAAGAUAUUUAUAUAUGACUACCCCCAUAACCCCCCCAAGCCCUCCCGAGCCCCCUAUCUGUGUGUAAGGUGACUGAUUGGUUCCGUGUCGACAGGUGUACAUAGGUGAAGAUCAAGGUGAAGUGGCUGUUUACCUGUGUUGUUGAUGUUAUUGUUUACUGUAUUCAUUUUGAUCUAUUAUUUUUUUUCUUAUUUCUUUGAGCGUAAGUCUAAAUAUAUAACUAAAAUAUUCAAUCAAAAUAUUAACCACCUAUUAUCUUUGUUAUCAUUAUCAUCAUCAUUACGAGGACUAUGUGAUAAUUUUUGCAUUUUCUUUUUUUUUUUUUUUUUUUUUUAGGUCUACAAACAGUCUGGUAAUUUAUUUGUUCAUGUAAAAACAUCUCUAUAACACAACAUAUCCAUUAGAGAAAUAGUUUAUUGUCAUUAUUUAACAUUACUCCUAUUAUUAUCGUCAUUAUUCUUUGUCAUUAGCACCAUUACCCCCUCCGCCGCUGCUCUGCCCAGCUGUACAUAAGAUAUAUUACUCCUUUAUUAAUAAUUUAAAUAAAUGUCAUAUUGAAAUAUAAACACAAAUGA